rnacentral:rRNA from 1 species
CACGUAGGGCGCAAGCGUUGUCCGGAAUUAUUGGGCGUAAAGAGCUCGUAGGCGGUCUGUUGCGUCCGCUGUGAAAACCCGGGGCUUAAACCUGGGCUGGCAGUGGAUACGGACAGACUAGAGGUAGGUAGGGGAGAAUGGAAUUCCCGGUGUAGCGGUGAAAUGCGCAGAUAUCGGGAGGAACACCGGUGGCGAAGGCGGUUCUCUGGGCCUUACCUGACGCUGAGGAGCGAAAGCGUGGGGAGCGAACAGG